rnacentral:lncRNA from 1 species
GGCCUUUAGGAUACCUUGACACAUUCGGAUUGUUGUUGCAUCAUAGUCCUCCUCAGCACAUCUUUUGAUUUCUUCAAGAACAGGCUGCAAAGGGUAGCUCAUCGGAGUGCUUCCAGUUCCAGUAAAACUCCUAACUUGCUUAUUCAACGCUCGAAGGAGUAUGUCUUCUAUAAAUAAAUGCUUCUCCUGCAGAGACCAAUCAAACUCCUCCGGCAUAGAAUCAAGCAAAAGAUUAUGGGUAUAAGGAUCAAUUCCAUAAACUUCUUGCUCAAUAACCUCAUUUCCAAGCUGCUUUCUAGGUUUGAAAUUUUUUACUUCAGGAAGUUCCAUAUCUGACUCCUCAGUGCCAUUCUUUUGCGCAAUCAGCUUCUCAGCAUAGUCAUCAGGUAAUGAAACCCGCAGCAAGAUCUAUCAACCAACUAGUUAAAACUUCUAAACAAAGGCAUUUUCAGGCACAUUUGCAUAAAGGCAUGCUGUAGAACAAAAGCAAUCGGAACAAAGCAGAAGAACGGAAAGUGAUUUAUAAAAGAAGGCAAGUUAAUAUGAAGCAACAUGCUGAUUUUUAAAUAAGUAAACAGUAAUAAUGCUCACGUACCAAAGCUAGGUUUAAAAAGUUUAGAAAGGACUAUUAUAAAGGCAUAAAAACAUUCUAAUUGAAAUUUAGCAUGACAAAAACAAUUAGUGGACCAUAGAAACCAGCAUAAUAUUCAACGUCCAAGUUCCAUCUCAUGCCAGAUGCAGAUCAUGAAGGGCCUGAAGCAGUUACAACUUACAAGUACACAGUUUUCAAAAGAAAGCCAGAGGAAGACUCAUGCAAAAUGAAAUAUAAUGCAAGGAGAUAAUUAUGAAAUGUGUCAACAGAAACAAUCAUGAUUUAACCAAAGAAAAAAAUCAUGACUGUAGUUGGUAAAUGGAUGCCAUAAUCUUUCAUGCAUAUGUGAGUAAUGACUCCCCCAAAUGCUUGUUCACGGAAACAGCAUACAUUGCUCUAAUACCAAGAGCUGAAAAGUCAGAAACAGAAUGAUAAAAAUCAACCAACAUGAAUGACAAAACAACUUACUUGGCUUCACAGUUAGGUCGGCAAGAAUGACAUAUCCGACUGGCAUAAUUGGCCUUGUGCAUAGCAUCAACAACAACUAAGUCAUAUCCAUCAGCAUCACCCUGUCAUGGAAAUUGCAAGAUUGGAUAAGUACAGGAUGGAAGAUGAAUGAACUGUAUGAUGUUAAACAUCAUUAUUAUGAUGGGAUAGGCACCUUUGGCCUCUCAAGGUAGAUGUUAUAGAACUCUGGUGCUGGAUCUUUACUAUCUUUCUGCAGAGAUCGAAUCCCAUCUUGUUUCUCAAACCACUUCCACACAGGAUAAACCUAUGAAAACAAUAACAUAAGUUACAGUGUCACCAUCACAAAGUCAUAAGCUUAUGGUACUGAGUACAGACGAUUCCUAAACUUGUGUAUGAAAGAAACACUGAAUAAUAACAGCACAUCAAUUCAAGACAACUAACAUAUACGAACAAGAAUUUUGCAUGAAACAUUAGCUGGCAUCAAAAUCCCUGAUGCAAACAAGAAGAGCCAAUGAACAAAUAUGGCACCAUGUGUUAUAUGUCGCAUAACAUAACAGAAUUAGGAAUAAAAUCGGGAGAAAAUUGUCGUGCUCCUAUUUUAGAAAAUAUGAUAGUCCCGUCUUAGCUGGAUUGAGCACGUGUGGAGAAUAUUAGUAGAAGCAUCAGUAAGGAGAGUUUACCACAUGGAUCAAGUCUCGUGUGAUGCCAGUAGCCAACCCCACCUAGUGGAUAGACACUUGGUUUUCUGUUAUUGCCGUUGUUAAUUACUCCCUCUGUUCCUUAUUAUAAGUCACUUUUUAUGGAAAAAAAUUUCUAAAUAAGUCACUUUCUAAUAGUUAAUAUGAAACAGAUAGUGAGAUUUUGAAAAGUUGUGAACUUUGAGAGAUAAAUUCAUGAAGUUAAGCAAAUAAUUAAAGUAGAGAGAAAAAUAUAUUUAAUUUGUAAGUUUUUUAAUAAGGGUAAUUUAGGAAAGUUAAUAAAACAUUUAACAAACUUAUUGCUAUUAACUACUUUUCUUAAUUCUAGAGAAUUAAGUAAAAGUGACUUAAAAAUAGGAACGGAGAAAGUAAUAUGUUGCAUAUGUAAAAGCACAGAAAAUUCUAGAUUUGUAGAGAAUAGAUCAUAACUAGUUUAAUCGUUUUAGAGAAAACAUGACAAACUGUGCUCAGAGUUUCCUAUUCUCUCUAGUAGAAGGUCCCAUCAUCAGUUAUUUGACAUUAUAUUUGCAUAUAUAAAAAACAAAAGAAUAUAUUUUGUAGAGAAUAACUAGUACUACUUUACUCAUGUUUAGAGAAAACGUAACAAACUGUGUUCACAGUUUUCAAUUCUCUCUAGUAGAAGGAUCAUCUCGUUAUUUGACAUUAAGUUGCAUAUGUAAAAAACAGAAAUAAAUAGAAUUUGUUGAGAAACUAUCAUCACUAGUUUAAUCAAGAGAACACAACAAAUCAUGUGUUUGCACAGAUUUCUAUUUUCACCACUAGAUGGAUUAAGGCUUAGCUGUUUGAUAUUAUACUGGAAACUCAUAAUUAAUCCAACAUAAGAGCGAGAACAAAGCAUGCAUAGUUUGCACAUUAAAUAAUCAAGAAAGAAGUGGCAUGAGCAAAAUUCCAUGAAUGAAGCCAUACCUCACCCAGAAACUCCACAACAAAAUCAUCUUGGUCAAAGCCUUUUUCCUUGUCGCAAACAACACCAAGCCCCUGCAUGAUCCAUCCCAACAGACAGUAACAAAACCAAGUAAAAUAGCAGUUGAAAAGCAACAAACAGAGAAGACAAUGAUUUGUAAAACAAAUGAAAGAUAACUGCAAACUUAAUAGGUAAACAACAAGAGCAUAUACCUUUCUAUAAGCUACAUAUUUGUCAUCUGGACGAUUGUCAAUGGCCUUUAGGAUACCUUGACACAUUCGGAUUGUUGUUGCAUCAUAGUCCUCCUCAGCACAUCUUUUGAUUUCUUCAAGAACAGGCUGCAAAGGGUAGCUCAUCGGAGUGCUUCCAGUUCCAGUAAAACUCCUAACUUGCUUAUUCAACGCUCGAAGGAGUAUGUCUUCUAUAAAUAAAUGCUUCUCCUGCAGAGACCAAUCAAACUCCUCCGGCAUAGAAUCAAGCAAAAGAUUAUGGGUAUAAGGAUCAAUUCCAUAAACUUCUUGCUCAAUAACCUCAUUUCCAAGCUGCUUUCUAGGUUUGAAAUUUUUUACUUCAGGAAGUUCCAUAUCUGACUCCUCAGUGCCAUUCUUUUGCGCAAUCAGCUUCUCAGCAUAGUCAUCAGGUAAUGAAACCCGCAUCUUCCUACGCACAUCCUCUUCAUCAGCUACAAUGACAUAUUGAUCAAUGACUUCAUAUUUCCUGGUAACUGGAGGAACUAGACUUGCUUUCGUCAUGCGAGCACCCCCCUCGCGGUCAUCAGUUAUAAAAUCC